GGGAAUCUGUUCCCCAGACGGGAGGCGUCGGGUGGGGAUGGAAGCGUUAUCAGAGUGCAUGUUCCCCUCUCGGUAACAGACAUGGCUCAGUGUAAAGAAAGGUUUGGCAGAUUCUCCAAGAACCCUGCUAUGUUUAGGGAUGAAUUUAUUAAGUUGAGUAUAGUUUUGUUCUGACUUGAAGGGACAGGACUGCAGUGUGAACGCACUGCUGCCCUCCUCUGUCAUGCCUUUAUGACAAAGGUGAAUUCUCACAAAGGCUGCUGAAGUAGCUGAUGGGUCGGCAGCUCCAGACCACGAUGCUCGGAAGCCUUCUGAGGAAGCAGCACCCCUCAUUGACUUCAAAUGCGACCCUGAAAAUUCUCACAAAAUGGAGAGAAUAGAGCAUUUUGGGACUUGUGUUUCAGAGGAGAUGGGAAGGUGUCAGGUUAAGCCUGUCAAUUAUGACAGGAUGAAAGGGAGGAGCAUCCUGCUGUAUUUUCCAGUCACCUGUCAGAGACCUUCCAAAGCAGAUGGUGUCACCCUCGUAUGGGGGACCCCAGAGGAUGUCGCAUACCACAGAAAACCCACUGCACUGCCAGCCCUUGGAGAAGAAAUUGAAAAUGCACGCGCAACAAUCUCAACAACCAAGGUCACCCGAGCAGCAGCUCUCCGUGCUAGUGAACAUCUGGGAGCGAACGGCCACCACUGUGAGCACCCCUGUAAUUGCAGAGGCCAAAGAGGUUAUACAUGGAAUUACAUAUGACCCAGCAAUACUGCUUUGAUGUAUAUACCUAGGAAAUAUGAGGACAUAUGUCCACACAACCAUGUGUACAUAAAUGCCCACAGCAAUAUUGUUUAUAAGAGCCAAAUUCUCAUCCACAGAAGAAUGGACUAACAAAAUACAGACUAGAAUGGAAUAUUCCAUUCUAGAAUAUAUAAAGGGAAUAUUAAAUAUAUAAAGUAAUAUUAGUGAGCCAUAAAAAGGAAUAAAGUACUGACCACUGCUUCAACAUGGCUGGACCUUGAAGAGAUUAUGCUUAUUGAAAGAAUCCCUCUAGGUCAGCAAGGCCCUAGAUGUCAAAACGUCAGAAUACAGAAAGCAAGACACAGUUGAUACAUCACAAGAGUCAACUGCAGUAGAUCUUAGAUCUUGGGAACCAAGAUGAUCUUGAAAUGAUUUGUUCUCGGGACACAAAGGUGUUGGGAGCUACUGCUGAAGUGCGUAGGAGGCCACCGAUGAAGAGGUUCCCAACUCUUGGGGUAGCCUCGUGUUGAGGAAGUUGGUCUGGAAAGCAAUGACCACAGCCAGAGAGAAGAAGCCAAAACUGCAAGAAUCCGAAGUCCAUGAGGUGCUGAAGACACUAGUGGAAGACACUAGUGUGACUUGCACGUAGAGUGGAAGCAGUGUGCCCAGGGAUUAGAUGCUGUGUAAUGCAUACUGAACUGCGAGUCCCUCACUGAGAUGGUGGCUGACACCUGGUGUUUUUGUCUGUUUAUCUCCAGACCCGUUGCAGUCCUCGUGUUGGAGGCUGCGGGUAUCUGCAGUGCUUUGCCAGUCUGUCUGCGGGUGUCUUCACUGAGUAGUGUUUGGCAGGCAUGAAGGAAGAGCUGGUCUUUGACUGUCUGUAAACUGCACUUCAAGAGCUCAGCUUACACCCACACCCCCACCCACACCCCCACACAUCCUUGGAUCUACUUUUCCAGAUUUUUAAAAUAGCAUAGGCACCCCAUUCAUGUGAGCAGGGAAAUGACUUUGGUUCCUACAAGUGGUGAUCAAAAUACAUGUGCAGCACGAGUUGGCUUGUGUUUGAAGUUAUUCAGAUGUUGGUUGAAACUUCUGGACCUUAAAGAUCACCAUUGGAUGUGCCAUGUGCCAGGAAGCUGUUCUUCGGGUACACAGCAUCCUGCCCUGGGGUAGAAGGACAUUCUGUUUCCUGCGACUGUGACAGAUUGCCCCCUGCUGUUGUCCUGGUUUCAGAAUUGAGAUUAUGGCCAGGUGUGGUGGCUCACGUUUGUAAUCUCAGCACUCAAGAGGCUGAGGCAGGAGGGUUUCAGCAAGUUUGAGGCCAGCCUGGGCUGCAUAGUGAGUUCAAGUUCAGCCUGAACUACAUAGUGAGACCCUGUGAUGAAGAAGAAGAAGAAGAAGAGGAAGAAGAAGAGGAAGAAGAGUAGGAAGGGGAAGGAAGAAGAAGAAGGAGAAGAAGAAUUG
ensembl:lncRNA